rnacentral:rRNA from 1 species
UACAGGGGGGGCAAGCGUUGUUCGGAAUUACUGGGCGUAAAGGGUCAGUAGGCGGCCAACUAAGUCCGACGUGAAAUCCCAAGGCUUAACUUUGGAACUGCGUCGGAUACUGGAUGGCUUGAAUUCGGGAGAGGGAUGCAGAAUUCCAGGUGUAGCGGUGAAAUGCGUAGAUAUCUGGAGGAAUACCGGUGGCGAAGGCGGCAUCCUGGACCGACAUUGACGCUGAGGAGCGAAAGCCAGGGGAGCAAACGGG